GAGUUUGAUCCUGGCUCAGAUUGAACGCUGGCGGCAUGCCUUACACAUGCAAGUCGAACGGCGGCAUGAUCUAGCUUGCUAGAUUGAUGGCGAGUGGCGAACGGGUGAGUAAUACAUCGGAACGUGCCCUGUAGUGGGGGAUAACUAGUCGAAAGAUUAGCUAAUACCGCAUACGACCUGAGGGUGAAAGUGGGGGACCGCAAGGCCUCAUGCUAUAGGAGCGGCCGAUGUCUGAUUAGCUAGUUGGUGGGGUAAAGGCCCACCAAGGCGACGAUCAGUAGCUGGUCUGAGAGGACGAUCAGCCACACUGGGACUGAGACACGGCCCAGACUCCUACGGGAGGCAGCAGUGGGGAAUUUUGGACAAUGGGCGAAAGCCUGAUCCAGCAAUGCCGCGUGUGUG
rnacentral:rRNA from 1 species